AGAGUUUGAUCAUGGCUCAGAAUCAACGCUGGCGGCGCGCCUAACACAUGCAAGUCGAACGAGAAAGCAGGAGCAAUCUUGUGAGUAAAGUGGCGUACGGGUGAGUAACACGUGGAUCAUCUACCCUCUUGUGGGGGAUAACUCUGGGAAACCGGAGCUAAUACCGCAUAAGUCCGAGAGGAGAAAGCAGCAAUGCGCAGGAGGAGGAGUCCGCGGCCGAUUAGCUAGUUGGUAGGGUAAAAGCCUACCAAGGCUACGAUCGGUAGCCGGCCUGAGAGGGCACACGGCCACACUGGCACUGAAACACGGGCCAGACUCCUACGGGAGGCAGCAGUGGGGAAUCUUGCACAAUGGGGGCAACCCUGAUGCAGCGACGCCGCGUGAGCGAUGAAGCCCUUCGGGGUGUAAAGCUCUUUCGGCAGGGAAGAUUAUGACGGUACCUGCAGAAGCAGCUGCGGCUAACUACGUGCCAGCAGCCGCGGUA
rnacentral:rRNA from 1 species